GACGAACGCUGGCGGCGUGCUUAACACGUGCAAGUCGAGCGGUAAGGCCCUUUCGGGGUACACGAGCGGCGAACGGGUGAGUAACACGUGGGUGACCUGCCCUCAGCUCUGGGAUAAGCCUGGGAAACUGGGUCUAAUACUGGAUAUGACUCCACGGUGCAUGUCGUGGGGUGAAAGCCUUGUGCGGCUGAGGAUGGGCCCGCGGCCUAUCAGCUUGUUGGUGGGGUNAUGGCCUACCAAGGCGACGACGGUAGCCGGCCUGAGAGGGCGACCGGCACACUGGGACUGAGACACGGCCCAGACUCCUACGGGAGGCA
rnacentral:rRNA from 1 species